GAAGUGGGCUGGACGGUCGCUGCUGUGGAGGUCUCCGUGACUGAAACAGGGGAGGAAAGUCCGGGCUUCAUAGGGCAAGGUGCCAGGUAACGCCUGGGCGGCAAAAGCCGACGGCAAGUGCAGCAGAGAGUAGACCGCCUCAUUCGUGAGGUAAGGGUGAAAGGGUGCGGUAAGAGCGCACCGCGUGUCUGGUAACAGUUCACGGCAAGGUAAACCCCACCAGAAGCAAGACCAAAUAGGAAUCCUGAGGCACGGCCCGUGCUGGAUUCGGGUAGGUCGCUUGAGCGUAUGAGUGAUUGUACGCCUAGAGGAAUGAUCGUCCUCGACAGAACCCGGCUUAUAGGCCCACUUCUCAA
rnacentral:RNase_P_RNA from 1 species